rnacentral:tRNA from 2 species
GCCGCCUUAGCUCAGUUGGCAGAGCACGGUUCUUGUAAAACCGGUUGCGUCGGUUCGAUCCCGACAGGCGGCU